UACGAAGGGGGCUAGCGUUGUUCGGAUUUAUUGGGCGUAAAGAGCGUGUAGGCGGCUUGGAAGGUCAGCUGUGAAAACUCGAGGCUCAACCUCGAGACGUCGGUUGAAACCACCUGGCUAGAGUCCGGAAGAGGAGAGUGGAAUUCCCGGUGUAGCGGUGAAAUGCGCAGAUAUCAGGAGGAACACCGGUGGCGAAGGCAAUUCUCUGAGCAUGACCUAACGCUGAGGAGCGAAAGUGUGGGGAGCGAACAGG
rnacentral:rRNA from 1 species